rnacentral:rRNA from 1 species
AUGGCGCUGCCACGCCACCGCCGCUCGCCGCCGGCGCUUCCAGACCACCUCCUCGAGGAAAUCUUCUCUCGCCUCCCUCCCAGCGAACCCUCAUGCCUCCUCCGCGCCUGCCUCGUCUGCAAGCACUGGCGCGACAUCAUCUCCGCCCCCAGCUUCCUCCGCCACCUCCACGCGCACCGCCGGGCACCCAAGAUGCUAGGGUUCCUCCAGCACUCGGAAGGUGAUGAGUAUCUCCCCGUCUACGUGCCCACCUCCCCCUACUCCUUCCCCGUCCCCGACCCCCCCGCCUGGCACGUCCUCGGUUACCGGCACGGCCGCGCCGUAUUCGUCUCCGAGACUACCGACCGGGAGCUCCUCGUCUGGGAGCCGUUCACAGGCAACCGGUGGAGCGUGCCGGUACCCACGGAACUCAACAUCGGGCACUCCAACGCCACCGUGCUCUGUGCGGCGGAGGGGUGCGACCAUCUCAACUGCCACGGGGGGCCCUUCCGCAUUGUCUUGGUGUUCACCAGCCCCUUCGACGAGGAAACAGAGUGGGUCACGUCGGCGUGCCAAUACUCGUCGGAGACCGGCGCCUGGGGUGAGGUGGCCUUGGCCUGGCCCUGGUGCGAUGGCUUUUCCUUGCUCUGUGAGAAUCCUGGCCUGCUCGUGGGGAAUUCUCUGCUCUACUUCCUGUUCCUUGAUGGGCACAUCCUCGAGUACAACUUGGCUGAGCAUGUCCUCAAUGUGAUCGACCCACCGGAACCGGACAUUGAUGCUGCAUUCUCGCAGAGAGUUAUGCUGGUUCAGGCGGAGGAUGGUGGGCUGGGAAUUGCUAAAGCUGAUGACGAUGGGUGGAAUCAUCUCUACCUCUGGUCAAGGAAGGUCAGUGAAGGAGGUGAUGCAGAAUGGGUGGAGUGCCCGUUCAUGUACCUCGGCGAUUCGCUUCCAUUUGCUGCUAGGUCGUCGUCCUCAAGAAUAACAGUGUUUCUGAUGGGCUUUGUCGAGGGAGUGAAUACCAUUUUGGUGAGCACGGAUGAUGGCUUCUUUUCAAUCGAGCUCCAGUCCAAGCGGGGGAGGAAGAUGUGCAAGGACUACCCUUUGGUUCCAGUUGUCAGCUCCUACUCUACACUCCGGGUACCUCAAGUUGAUCACGAUGGCCUGGGCUCUCCGGACUUCAAUGGUGAGUCAGAUGAUGAGGAGUGGGAGUGGGAAGCACUAAGGCAGGCAGAGUCGCUGUUUUACAGUGGGUCCAGGGCCAUCAAGGAGGGGGACUUUGUUGCCGCUGUUGAUUGCCUCAGCCGCGUCCUGGCGAUCAGUGGAGCAAUCGGGGUGUUUAGUUCUGAUUAUACCACUCUAUCUCAGAUUACAUUCUGUUCUAUGGAAGUAUCUUAUAACCUCAACAAUGACAAAUCUACUCCUUUGUUGUCACCUAGGGUUGCACAUUAUGGUGAACUUGCUCCGGAAUGUGCUAGCGUGUAUUACAAAUAUGGACGUGCCUUCCUAUGGAAAGCUCAGAAGGCAACUAAUCCUCUGGGAAACCUUCCCGAGAAGGGUACAAUCAGCAAAGCUCAGAGUGAAGAACGGGAAAACUCAAAUGGCGAAGAUCAGGAGGAUAGGAAGGGAUACAAUGAGAUGGCAGGCGCUGGAGAUGUUUCUGAUGUGGAUCUUGCUGGGAAAAUGUUAGAUACUGCAAGAGUAAUAAUGGAAAAGAGCACAGACAACACUGUGGAGAUAUCAAGAAUCCUUUCUGCUCUCACUGAAGUCUCCAUGGAAAAGAGAAAAAGCAGUACUAUUUGCAUCCUUCCGGAGGUGGGUCUCUGUGGUUUUAGGGGUACUAAAUUUUCAGUUAGAUACUUGCUGGUAUCUUGUAGAUUUGGUUGGUCUUCCUGUUGCUUAUCCCCCUUAAAUCAGUCCUAG